CUUGCAGAAGGAACUAAGUCUAGGUAGCAAAGGAAGGCAGAGUAGAAAAAUAAUUCAGAGCAGGAGUACAGUGUAUAAAAGCCUGCUCCAGGAGUUGCCGUCUCAUAACAGUAAAGACAGAGCGUAGCAGAGUUCUCCCAAAAACCUGUGUGGUUUCGUAUCGAGGUAGACUGUCACAGAACUGGGGAACAUUGCAGUAACACAGCCACCUACAACAAAAAAGCCAGAUAAUUACCUCCACCUUGGAACCACUAGCAACAAAAGAAGAUUAAAUGACUAUACAAAUCCAGCAUUAGCCUGCAAAGAGUAUAUACAUCAACGUGUUAGCUGAUGCGGUGGAAGUCUGCAUUUCAGAAACAAAGUCUCUGGGUUGUAUCCUCCAAUUCUGCAUGUGUGCCAUGUAGUCGUGGAUUCAUUAAACUCACAGGGUCAGACCAACCCAAUCAUUGGAAGAUGCUGUUGAUGGCUGGAAAGAAAAUACAUACCAAAUGGGUGCUGACUUGGGACCAGACUCUGAAAUCACUGGGAAGACUUCAGAAGUUAGGUACUGUGCAACAUAAGGGUAGCAGAAUCUAGUCCAAAAUUAAAAACCUUAUUACUAUCUUGGAAAAAGGAGAGCUUAACCUACAAAUUGUCUAAGUCAAUACAAAUAUAAUGGUCCAUUAGGACAAUAAAAUUAAUGUAAGUACAAAAGAAUGAAAGAUAUGACAAGAUGCUACAUGUGUAUCUAAAGUUGCAGAAAUACAAUUGCAUGAUGUUGAAUUUUGAGAAACAUCUUCAUCUUACCUUGAACAGGUAGAAGUAAACUUGUUUUGUAUCUGCAUCUUCUUCUUUGUGGACACAGGUGAAGAGAUAUUCCACAUCCAACACUAUCCCCAACAGCCUAUUCAUUUCUUCUUCAGACACAUUCUCCAGGUGAGAAACAUGAGCAGCUAAACAAAAUAAAAAUCCAAAAAUUGUGGAAAAAAGCUAGGUGGUAGGAUGGCAUUCUAUGGUCAAUAAGACAAGACAACACAAAGGACGAACCUUGCAACCACGACCACCAUUACCACUUAAACAGCACCUUUCAUCAGAAGAACCUCAAGGCACAGGCUCCAUAUGGACAAUUUUUAUAACAGUUUACAGAUGAUACACUACGGCACAGAGAUAAGUGACUUGUACAAACUCACACAAGUCUGUGGCCAUGCUGAGAACAGAACCCACAAAUCCUGUCUGCUACUGACUUAC